rnacentral:rRNA from 1 species
GACGAACGCUGGCGGCGUGCUUAACACAUGCAAGUCGAGCGGGAGAAUCUGGUGCUUGCACCAGAGGAUUUAGCGGCGGACGGGUGAGUUACACGUGGGCAACCUGCCCUAAGGAGGGGAAUAACAGGCCGAAAGGUUUGCUAAUACCGCAUAAGACCAUAGCGUCGCAUGGAGCAGUGGUUGAAGAUUUAUGGCCUUAGGAUGGGCCCGGGGCGCAUUAGCUAGUUGGUAGGGUAACGGCUUACCAAGGCGACGAUGCGUAGCCGACCUGAGAGGGUGAUUGGCCACAUUGGGACUGAGACACGGCCCAGACUCCUACGGGAGGCAGCAGUGGGGAAUAUUGCACAAUGGGGGAAACCCUGAUGCAGCAACGCCGCGCGAGCGAUGAAGGCCUUCGGGUUGUAAAGCUCUGUCUUCGAUGAAGAAAUUUGACGGUAAUCGAGGAGGAAGCCACGGCUAACUACGUGCCAGCCGCCGCCGUAAAAC